GUGCAGUGUUGACUGGAGUGAUAGUAGAGGACUUCCUGCCCAUAUUUCUUAUUUCAAGGGAGACAUUCUCAGUGUUUCAUCAGUUUGUCCCUGAAACGUGUGUGUAAAGUGAAAGGUGGUAACCCUCGGUCAUCCCAUGGAGUUAGGAGCUGCACACUGCGCUGGUCGCUGGCCACACAGCUACACGCCAAGAGGCUUCUACACAGAAAGAGCUGAGGCUCUAGUGCAUGAGACGGAUGCCAACAGUGUGAUGUGGAUGGUGGGGCAAGGCCGGAGGAGCACGAGCGCCACUCACCAGGAAGAUCAGGUCUGCGCAGGGGCCCUGAGAACAUCUCAGACAAGUUCCCGGUGUUGCUGCUGCUGCCAGGCUGGGACCCACACCUUGAGAAGCACUGCCUGGAGGGACCACCCAUGGGUGAAGAACAGGGCCGUGCCGAGCCAAGCCAGCCCGCCUCCUGCUCCCAGCUCCGCAUCCAAGAUGCAGACCAAAUGACGCGCUGCUCCUUCUUCAGCUGAGUGCUCCUGAGUGUGACCCAUUGAAACAGAAGGAGAACCGCGCAGCAGAAAGACGUCGGCAGGCUCUCUCCAAUGUCCCCAGCACCCGUGGACACGGAAGGUUCGUUAGUCCUGCAGUAAAGGAACCUUGACAGUCGUUUAAGGUAGGCUUCCUGCACUGACAUGACCAUGUAAU